UGGCGGACGGGGGAGUAAUGUCUGGGAAACUAGCCUGAUGGAGGGGGGUAACUACUGGAAACGGUAGCUAAUACCGCAUAACGUCGCAAGACCAAAGAGGGGGACCUUCGGGCCUCUUGCCAUCGGAUGUGCCCAGAUGGGAUUAGCUAGUAGGUGGGGUAACGGCUCACCUAGGCGACGAUCCCUAGCUGGUCUGAGAGGAUGACCAGCCACACUGGAACUGAGACACGGUCCAG
rnacentral:rRNA from 1 species